rnacentral:rRNA from 1 species
AAAGGGGNACCUGAUCGCCAUGCCGCGUGUGUGACGAAGGCCUUAGGGUUGUAAAGCACUUUCGUCUGUGAAGAUAAUGACAGUAGCAGAAGAAGAAGCUCCGGCUAAAUUCGUGCCAGCAGCCGCGGUAAUACGAAUGGAGCGAGCGUUGUUCGGAAUCACUGGGCGUAAAGGGUGCGCAGGCGGUCAUGAAAGUUAGAAGUGAAAUCCCAGGGCUUAACCCUGGAAUGGCUUUUAAAACUCCAUGACUAGAGUACUGGAGGGGUUAGCGGAAUUCCGAGUGUAGAGGUGAAAUUCGCAGAUAUUCGGAGGAACACCAAUGGCGAAGGCAGCUAGCUGGACAGUAACUGACGCUCAUGCACGAAAGCGUGGGGAUCAAACAGGAUUAGAUACCCUGGUAGUCCACGCCCUAAACGAUGUGUGCUAGUUGCCGGGACCUUUAGGUUUCGGUGACGCAGCUAACGCUUUAAGCACACCGCCUGGGGAGUACGGUCGCAAGAUUAAAACUCAAAGGAAUUGACGGGGACCCGCACAAGCGGUGGAGCAUGUUCUUUAAUUCGAAGCAACGCGAAGAACCUUACCUACACUUGACAUGCCUCUUGGGACUUUCAGAGAUGAUUGUCUUCGGUUCGGCCGGGGAGUGCACAGGUGCUGCAUGGCUGUCGUCAGCUCGUGUCGUGAGAUGUUGGGUUAAGUCCCGCAACGAGCGCAACCCUUAUCGUAUGUUACCAGCAUUUAGUUGGGGACUCAUGCGAGACUGCCGGUGAUAAGCCGGAGGAAGGCGGGGNACGACGUCAAGUCAUCAUGGCCCUUACGUGUAGGGCUAGAAACGUGCUACAAUGGUGGUGACAAUGGGCAGCGAGGUCGUGAGGCCAAGCUANUCCCUAAAAGCCAUCUCAGUUCGGAUUGUAGUCUGCAU